UUGCAGUGAUGCCUCUCUUAGGACACCUUUGGAUUUACCGUUAAAUUCUGAGCAGC
rnacentral:snoRNA from 1 species